UUUCUUCAACCAAUCCAAACCAUUCAAUUAUGCUUUCAUCAAUUUGAUUCAAUAUAUAAUUCAAAAACUAUCUUCAGAAAAUCAAUAAUGCCGGAAGUUUCUACGGGCUUUCUAUAGAUUGGACCUUCCUUACUGGGCUACUUUGCCCAUUUAGUACCUACUCUCCUCCUCCCUUCUCUUAAACAAUGCUCCUCAUCACAACCCAACACCGUCUUUUUUUCUCCGAAAUUUUUAGAAUCUCUGCACAGUACGCACAGAGAUGCAAAGGAAGGGAAGAAACGCAUUUGUUUAUUUGCUUGCUUUUAUGCUUUAAUGUCUCCAAACGCAUUGCGUUGUCGUAAUUAAAACCAAAAACAAAAAAAAAAAAAGGCCCGUCUUAGCUUCAAAAGGACCAUGGGAAUUGUUUUCCGCAUAUGUUCAUCGCUGAUUACCAGCUUCGCUACCGAUCAAAGCUAGGGUUUUCUAAUAUCUUUCCAGUUUUCUUUGUUUUUCGAUAUUAAAACUGGAUGGAGCAGUGGCCGUUCCACGACGGCAACGUGCACAAUCUACUCGAGAACAGGCGCAUCGACAUUGGCCACGAUGUUGGUCGUAGUUUGCAGAUGCAUUCGUCUCUGAUUCGUAGGCUUUCAAUGGAACAAGAAUUGGAGGGACAUCAGGGCUGUGUAAAUGCUGUGGCUUGGAAUUCAAAUGGUUCACUUUUGAUUUCUGGUUCUGAUGAUGCACUGAUAAAUAUUUGGAGCUACUCUGGUCGAAAGCUUUUGCAUUCUAUAGAGACUGGUCAUUCUGCUAACAUAUUCUGUACAAAAUUCAUUCCUGAAACUUCUGAUGAGCUUGUAGCCUCUGGAGCUGGAGAUGCAGAGGUUCGAUUAUUUAACUUGUCCCGCUUAAAUGGCCGAGGUUUCAAUGAUGGUGCUAUUACUCCAUCAGCACUCUAUCAGUGUCACACAAGAAGAGUUAAAAAAUUGGCGGUUGAAGUUGGAAACCCCAAUAUGGUAUGGAGUGCAAGUGAGGAUGGAACUCUGAGACAGCAUGACUUUCGAGAGGGCACUUCUUGUCCUCCAGCUGGAUCUUCUCACCAAGAAUGUCGCAAUGUUCUACUUGACUUACGUUAUGGGGCAAAGAGGUCACUAGCUGAUCCUCCUAGACUUACUCUGGCCUUGAAAUCGUGUGAUAUCAGUUCUACUAGACCUCAUUUACUCCUUGUUGGUGGGAAUGAUGCAUUUGCUCGGCUAUAUGAUAGAAGGAUGCUGCCACCAUUGACCUCCUGCCGGAAAAGAAUGUUACCACCUACUUGUGUUAAUUAUUUCUGCCCAAUGCAUCUCUCUGACCGUGGACGUUCAAGUUUGCACUUAACUCAUGUUACCUUCAGCCCUAAUGGAGAAGAGGUUCUUCUUAGCUAUAGUGGGGAACAUGUAUAUCUAAUGGACGUAAAUCAUGCUAGUGGGAGUUCAAUGCAAUAUACCUCAGGAGAUGCUUCAAAAUUGAUGACCUUCACUCCUGUACUAAAUAAACUAGAGCACCGACCACCUCUUUCCGGUGUCUUCCAAAAUGGUCUCUGGAGUAGAGGCAAAACUACUGCUGGAAUUGAAAAAUGCAGGAUGUUGGUUGAAAUUGCUAAGAGAUCAUUAGACAACAGGACAAAUAUUUUUCAUGCAAUUGAGGCAUGCAAUGAAGUCUUGGAUGGACAUGGUAUUGAUAUUGGGCCCACACUCAGGCUUGAAUGCUUUUGUACACGUGCUGCCUUGUGGCUUAAGCGGAAGUGGAAAAACGAUGCCCAUAUGGCCAUUAGAGAUUGCCAUAAUGCUCGAAGAAUAGACAGUUCUUCCUUUAGAGCUCAUUAUUGUAUGGCGGAGGCUUUAGAACAGUUGGGAAAACAUAAAGAAGCAUUAGACUUUGCUGUUGCAGCACAAUGUUUAUCUCCAUAUGAUACUAUGGCCGCUGAGAAAGUGGAGAACAUUAAAAAACAUCUUGCUGCUGCUGAGGCUGAAAAAAGUAACAAGGCAAGUGAUGGAUCACAUAAGGGUGAACCUCGAACUGGAAGGGUAUUGUCAUUGAGUGACAUACUAUAUCGCUCAGAAGCUAACAGUGAUGCUUUACAAGAUGGUCCAAGAUCUGAAAGAGAAGACUCUGAUUUUGAUGAGGAGCUGGAAUUAGAUUUUGAAACUUCAAUAUCAGGUGAUGAAGGGCGUGAUGUUGAAUCCAACAUAUUACAUGGAAGUUUAAAUCUUAGAAUUCAACGAAGAGGUGAUUCAACUAGAGAAACUGGUGCAUGUGGAUCUCCUUCCUCGUCAUCACAAAAUGGAGUGGCUUACCAGCCCGAGGCAGUAGUUGAUAUGAAGCGGAGAUAUGCUGGGCACUGCAAUGUUGGAACUGACAUCAAGCAGGCGAGUUUCCUUGGUCAGAGAGGUGAAUUUGUUGCUAGCGGCAGUGAUGACGGAAGGUGGUUUAUUUGGGAGAAGCAGACUGGUAAAUUGAUAAAAAUGCUUCUUGGAGAUGACGCUGUUGUAAACUGUGUUCAGAGCCAUCCAUUUGAUUGCUUUGUGGCAACUAGUGGUAUUGACAACACAAUAAAGUUAUGGACUCCAACUGCUGCUGUCCCAUCAAUGGUUGCUGGUGGGUCAGCAGGGCCAGAAGCUGCGAAUGUGUUAGAAGCAAUGGAAAGUAAUCAACAGAAAUUAUGUCGUAAUCAUGAAGCUUUCUUGCCCUUUGAACUUUUGGAGCGAUUUCGGAUGCAUGACUUUUCUGAAGGAUCCUUGCAACCUUUUGAGUGUGCACAGACCUAGCCAGCUUUUUAGCUCUUAAGAAAGUAUGCAGAAUGACACUAGUUGAGGCACAAGAUUUAUUGACAUGGAAAUGGAUAUCUCAUCAAGAGAAGAGGAGUAGAUUGAGCUUUUGGGGGGAUUUAUCAUAAACAAAGUUUACAAAAAGUUUGAAUAAAAUAGUACAAGGAGCCUCCAUCAAUUAAUUGUAAGCCAGCUCUCAAUCAGUUUAAAUAAUGUUAGAUGUUCUUUUUCUCUUUUCUAGCAUAUAUUCCCCUCCAUUUUGUCUUAUCCCGAAGAACAAAACAUUGGAGUUGUAUGUAGAUUGUUGGAGAUGGUGAUGUAAAUAGUGAUCGAAUGUGGAUGGUUUGUGUCAGCCAUAUUGUUGUAAAUGUUGGUUCAGUCCGGAAAGGGUCUCUUCUUUACUGAAUUAUGAUGAUAGAUAUUCAUUCAGUCACCAUGACUUUUUCAACCAAAGAGAAUCAAUUUGUUGGAAAUGAUCAAACAGCGGAAGAGGUGGGGUAUCCCUUCAUAUGUAAAUAUAUGUAUGGUCACACUUUCUUGAAUUCGGGAUGGUCGUGUCACCAUAUUCAAUGGACAAGGUUGCUUGUGUUGUGUUUA